rnacentral:misc_RNA from 1 species
AAGCAGUUGACAUUUCAUGGUCUUUAAUUAAUAACUUCAUCUUUCCCAAUGUUGCAUGAGCACCUACUAUGAUUCAAGCAUUGGAACUGGAUGGAUAGGAGUUGAAAAGGGCCAUUAUAUUAUUCAAUGAUAGACCCAUUCCAGGAAACUCUGACUCGGAAUUAUGGUAGACCAAAACGCCUGUUUUCCCAUAAAUCAUGCAAGAAUCAGCCCAAGUCAUGACCAAGAAACUGGGAAGCCCUGAAAUUGGAGGGCACAGCAGCGCAGCAUGCCAAUAACGCAAUCACAAAAAUCGAAGAAGAAAGCUUUUGAAUAUGUUGGUUAGAAUAAGUAUUCUGUCUUUCCCCAUGUGUUCUUUGAAGGAGAGCCACUACAAGAAAACAUUGCCUUUCCUAGCGAGAUCAUUAAGGCGAUUUAAUCAUCUGCCUUAAAACAAUUCAAGCCAUAAAAUUAGUGCUUUUUUAAGAGGCGGUGUAGUAAUCUGCCUCUAGAUAGAGACAGAUAGCAGGGCAAAGAGGUUAAAAAAAUUCCCCUAAUCUAUUAUCUCUCUCGCUUGUCAACCAUUUUGUCCACUCUAGAAGAAGUUAGCAGGGUAUUCAUGCUGUACUUCUGAAGAGAAGCGACUCAAUCAUAGACAUUUGGAGAGGUUCUCUUCUUCACUUGUGCUGGUGGCCAAGGAAGAUGUGGUGCUGCUCAGUGACGGAUGCAGAAAUUUGACUGAGGGGUUUGGAACAAGCAGGUUGGAAUUCCAAAUUAUGAAUCCCGGUAUCAUUUGUCCCACUAAGCAUGAAUACUCUCCAUUGUAAUUGAUUAUCAAUAAAACCUCACAAUGUCAUGUUAAUAGGAAAGUCUCUCGUUGAUGCCCAUCUGACUCCUUCUCCCUUGGCAACUAAAUAUUAAUUCCCAAGGCGGCAGCCUCAUAAUUAGAGCGUGGGUUUCCAAUUUGGAGAUCUAAAGGAUAAGCAAUUGAAACAGGGUGUGAUGCAAACUAAAAGAAUAUUGAACCAGAGAAAGAAAGGAACUAAGAAACAGAGACUAGAGAACAGAAUCCAAUAGAAGAAGAAGAAGGCGUAUUUAAUUAAUUAAAAUCACACAGUCACCACAAAUCACCAGUUCUUACAGACAAAGGUUACCAUUAUUGUUACAAGUACAACAAACUAAAAACUUCUAUAAUGUAUUGUCACUCAGCUCUAUUCUGUUACAACAGCGAACAUUCUCUCUUUAUUCAAGAACAGCUGCUCAUGAAUGCACACGACAUCAUUCUAUGACAGUUCCACUAAUCUUUCUCUUCAUAGGCUGUGGUUCAGUAACCAAUUCAUGUCUGCAUCAGGGUGGGAUAACAGAGGCCAUCCCACAAUAUGAUAUUGAAGAAACCCAUUGUUACGGAGCAGAUAACCAUUGCAAUCUCAUAAGCAUAUCUAAUAUAAAUGUGAAUGAAUCUGAGACAAUUCAACGAGACAAACAGUUAUGCAACGAGACGAACCAAAGUGUGAAGUGUCGGCUGGGUUUUUUGGAAAGAGAAGUAGAGAACUCUGAAAUACCUUUAAUUCUUAAUUUAAUUAUUAUUUUCACUGUAUUUCUAGAUGUUUUAUUGUAUUGACUUCCACCAAAACUUGCAUCAAAAUGUGAAAAAUAUUUUGAACUCGGUUUUCUAAAAUUCCAAGAAAGUUUUUAUGCUUCUUGAUUUUUGAUAUGUUUCUUUCAAUAUUUGUCAAUAAUUACUAGACAUUUUCCAGUCAAGAAAUCAGCAUCUGAAUCUGAAUUUUUAUGCAAUCCAUUACUUUAUUGAAGUAUAUUUAAAUGGACACCA